rnacentral:rRNA from 1 species
GACGAACGCUGGCGGCGUGGAUUAGGCAUGCAAGUCGAACGGUAUCAUCCUUUCGGGGGUGAGAGAGUGGCGAACUGGUGAGUAACACGUAGGUUAUCUACCCUCAAGACGGGGACAACCCAGGGAAACUUGGGCUAAUACCGGAUGUGAGCAACUUUUAGUUGUUUGAAAGGUGGCGUAAGCUGUCGCUUGGGGAUGAGCCUGCGUCCUAUUAGUUAGUUGGUGAGGUAACGGCUCACCUAGGCAAUGAUAGGUAGGCGGCCUUAACGGGUGGUCGCCCACACUGGGAUUGAGAUACGGCCCAGACUCCUACGGGAGGCAGCAGUCGAGAAUAGUCUACAAUGGUCGGAAGACUGAUAGUGCGACGCCGCGUGAACGAUGAAUCCCUUCGGGGUGUAAAGUUCUUUUAUAUGUGAGCAGUGCUUCUUAUAUUAACAGUAUGGGGAGAGAGAUUUUAUAGCAUAUGAAUAAGCAACGGCUAACUCCGUGCCAGCAGCCGCGGUAAUA